UCGGUCGCGAGGCCGAAUCUGAAGGAAGCCUAAGGCAAACGCACGGGCCAAGGUACACGAACUGGAUUCGAGGCAGGGUUAGUCGGAUGAGUUGCCAGCACACAACGAAAUCCAAAGCCGCCAAGGACUAAUCCUGUAAACUCCAGUGGUCGCGGGCGGAAAGAUGACGCU
rfam:Thermobacillus composti KWC4, complete genome.